rnacentral:tRNA from 1 species
GUUUUCAUAGUUUAAACAGAACACUAUACUUUCACUAUAGAGGCAAACCACCGGUUCUGAAAAUA